ACGGAAGGCAGCAGUGGGGGAUAUUGCACAAUGGGGGAAACCCUGAUGCAGCAACGCCGCGUGAGGGAAGAAGGUUUUUGGAUUGUAAACCUCUGUCUUUGGGGACGAUGAUGACGGUAUCCAGAGAGGAAGCUCCGGCUAACUACGUGCCAGCAGCCGCGGUAAUACGUAGGGGGCGAGCGUUGUCCGGAAUUACUGGGUGUAAAGGGAGUGUAGGCGGAUUUGUAAGUUGAAUGUGAAAUUUAUGGGCUUAACCCAUAAACUGCGUUCAAAACUGCAUGUCUUGAGUGAAGUAGAGGCAAAUGGAAUUCCUAGUGUAGCGGUGAAAUGCGUAGAUAUUAGGAGGAACACCAGUGGCGAAAGCGAUUUGCUGGGCUUUAACUGACGCUGAGGCUCGAAAGCAUGGGGAGCAAACAGGAUUAGAUACCCUGGUA
rnacentral:rRNA from 1 species